GAUGAACGCUAGCGGCAGGCUUAAUACAUGCAAGUCGUGGGGCAGCGCAGGUAGCAAUACUGGGCGGCGACCGGCAAACGGGUGCGGAACACGUACACAACCUUCCGAGAAGUGGGGAAUAGCCCAGAGAAAUUUGGAUUAAUACCCCGUAACAUAACGAUGUGGCAUCACAUUGUUAUUAUAGCUUCGGCGCUUCUUGAUGGGUGUGCGGCUGAUUAGAUAGUUGGCGGGGUAACGGCCCACCAAGUCUACGAUCAGUAGCUGAUGUGAGAGAAUGAUCCGCCACACGGGCACUGAGACACGGGACCGACUCCUACGGGAGGCAGCAGUAAGGAAUAUUGGUCAAUGGACGCAAGUCUGAACCAGCCAUGCCGCGUGAAGGAUUAAGGUCCUCUGGAUUGUAAACUUCUUUUAUCUGGGACGAAAAAAGGCGAUUCUUCGUCACUUGACGGUACCAGAUGAAUAAGCACCGGCUAACUCCGUGCCAGCCGCCGCUGUAAAAC
rnacentral:rRNA from 1 species